GACGAACGCUGGCGGCGUGCUUAACACAUGCAAGUCGAACGAAGAGCGAUGGAAGCUUGCUUCUAUCAAUCUUAGUGGCGAACGGGUGAGUAACGCGUAAUCAACCUGCCCUUCAGAGGGGGACAACAGUUGGAAACGACUGCUAAUACCGCAUACGAUCUGACCUCGGCAUCGAGGAUAGAUGAAAGGUGGCCUCUAUUUAUAAGCUAUCACUGAAGGAGGGGAUUGCGUCUGAUUAGCUAGUUGGAGGGGUAACGGCCCACCAAGGCGAUGAUCAGUAGCCGGUCUGAGAGGAUGAACGGCCACAUUGGGACUGAGACACGGCCCAGACUCCUACGGGAGGCAGCAGUGGGGAAUCUUCCGCAAUGGACGAAAGUCUGACGGAGCAACGCCGCGUGAGUGAUGACGGCCUUCGGGUUGUAAAGCUCUGUUAAUCGGGACGAAAGGCCUUCUUGCGAAUAGUUAGAAGGAUUGACGGUACCGGGAUAGAA
rnacentral:rRNA from 1 species